rnacentral:ncRNA from 2 species
AGCAUUCACCAGGGGGGUCCCGGCAAGGGGCUGAGAUACUGCUAGGCAAUACGGCUUUGCCGAUUGUGGGCGCAGUGACCCGUUGAACCUGAUCCAGUUCAUACUGGCGUAGGGACGGUGCAAGCGCUCGAAA